rnacentral:rRNA from 1 species
GACGAACGCUGGCGGCGUGCUUAACACAUGCAAGUCGAGCGGAAAGGCCCUUCGGGGUACUCGAGCGGCGAACGGGGGAGUAACACGUGAGUAAACUGCCCCAGACUUUGGGAUAACCCUCGGAAACGGGGGCUAAUACCGGAUACGACACAGCUUCGCAUGGGGUAUGUGUGGAAAGUUUUUCGGAUGGGGAUGGGUUCGCGGCCUAUCAGCUUGGUGGUGGGGUGAUGGCGUACCAAGGCGACGACGGGUAGCCGGCCUGGGAGGGCGACCGGCCACACUGGGACUGAGACACGGCCCAGACUCCUACGGGAGGCAGCAGUGGGGAAUAUUGCACAAUGGGCUGAAGCCUGAUGCAGCGACGCCGCGUGGGGGAUGACGGCCUUCGGGUUGUAAACCUCUUUCAGCUGGGACGAAGCGUAAGUGACGGUACCUGCAGAAGAAGCGCCGGCCAACUACGUG